UAAGUAAAAAUUAUUAUUUUAAUUUAUUUAUAUAAAAUAAAAAAAUUAAUGUUUUAUUAAUAUUAUAAAAUAAUUAAAUUUUAUUAUAGUUUAAUAGUAUUGUAAAAGAAUUUUAAAAUUAUAAAUAAAGAAAAAUUAAUUUUUUGUACCUUGUGUAUCAGGGUUUAUUAAAAAAAGUUAUUUAGUUAAUUUUCUUGAAUUUAAAAGAGCUAAUUAUUUAUAUUUUAAAUUGUAGUAUAAAUUUUAUUAAUAAAUUUUUAGUAAUGAAAUGUUAUUCGUUUUUGAAUAUAUCUAGUUUUUUAAGAAAAAAAUUUAAUUUUAUGAUUAAAAAUAAUUAUUUUAUUUAUAAAUUUUUAUUAUUAAUUUUAGAUAUUUUUAGGGAUAAGCUUAGAAAUUGAUUUUUAUUAAUUUUAUAUAAAUUUAAAUAAAUAGGAUUAUAAAUUUUCAUUUUUAUUAAUUUGUUAUAAUUAUUUUAAAUUUGAUAUAUUUUNUAGAUUAUAAAUUAUUUAUUAAAAUAUUAAUAAAAAUUUUUUAUAUUAAGAAAUAAUGAUAAAAUUAGUAUAAAUUUAUAUAAAUAUAAGAAUUAAUAUUAAAUUUUAAAAAAGGAAUUUAGCAAAUUAUUUUUCACCUGUUUAUUAAAAACAUGUCUUGUUGAUUAAUAAUUUCAAGUCUUACCUGCCCCCUGUUUAUAUAAAUGGCCGCAGUAUUUUGACUGUGCUAAGGUAGCAUAAUCAUUAGUUUUUUAAUUGAAAGCUAGAAUGAAUGGUAAUAUGAGAAAAUAACUGUCUCUUUUAUAUAAAUAAAAUUUUAUUUUUAAGUUAAAAAGCUUAAAUUGGAUUAAAAGACGAGAAGACCCUAUAGAAUUUAAUUUAAUUUAAUUUUUAAUUUAUUAGUAAUAAAAAUUUACUAAUUAAUUUAUAUUUAAUUGGGGUGAUUAGAAAAUUAAAAAAUCUUUUCUUUAUUAGACCAUUAAUUUAUGAUUUUAUGAUUCAUUAUUAUGAUUUAAGAAUAAAUUACCUUAGGGAUAACAGCGUAAUUUUUUUUGAGAGUUCAAAUUAAAAAAAAAGAUUGCGACCUCGAUGUUGGAUUAAAAUUAAUUUUUGGUGUAGAAGCUAAAUUAUUAAGUCUGUUCGACUUUUAAAAUUUUACAUGAUCUGAGUUUAAACCGGUGUAAGCCAGGUUGGUUUCUAUCUUUAAUAAAUUUUUAUAUUUUAGUACGAAAGGAUUAAAUA
rnacentral:rRNA from 1 species